GGUGGGGCUAAUGACUGGGGUGAAGUCGUAACAAGGUAGCCGUACCGGAAGGUGCGGCUGGAUCACCUCCUAACAGGGAGACAAACAUUGAUCGUGAUGUCUGAGUUAUUUACUCUUAGGCCAUGAUCCUGUCACCUUAGGUCGAUCGGUACCUCAGGUUAAUAGUCAAGAAAGAACUGAGAAAUCAGUUCUUAAAUGUCAUUUAACAUCAGUUCCUAAACUUGUCUAGGUCACACCCAACAAGGGUAUUUUCCUGGGCCAUUAGCUCAGGUGGUUAGAGCGCACCCCUGAUAAGGGUGAGGUCCCUGGUUCAAGUCCAGGAUGGCCCAUUCGGUGUUGGGGGUAUAGCUCAGUUGGUAGAGCGCCUGCUUUGCAAGCAGGAUGUCAGCGGUUCGAGUCCGCUUACCUCCACUGAUUUAACUCCUGAUAGCGAAGCCCAAGGAGAUUAUUUAUUGUUAGAUGUGAUUUAGAGGUUGUUCUAAUCUGAAUGACCCUAGCUUCCUAUCAUUCCUAAUUUUUAUACAACUUUGAUUAGGUUGAAAGGACGCUGGGCUCACUGCAAUUUAAAAAAAAUUGUAGUUAAGUUCGGUAGAACCUUGACAACUGCAUAGGUGAGUCUGGAAAGAAUAAAGCAUCUCAUGGAUGCAUUAUUUCCAGUAAGAAAUGAUUAAUCUGCUUUUGCAGAAUUAAUUAUUACUACUCGGAUAAAUAAUGCUUAAUUCUUGAGCAAGAGCCGAGAGCUCUAUUGUCCUAAUUGAACUUUAAAAAGUAUCAAUAAAGUGUUUUAAACACUACAGUUCAAUAGAGAUUUAUUGGUCAAGCUACAAAGGGCUCA
rnacentral:misc_RNA from 1 species